GUCCUGCUUCCGCCGUCACUUCCCAAAACCUCUCGUUCCAGAUUUAUUAUCUUCACCUCGUCGACCCGAUGCCUACGCAGCCAUUUCCCUGGUCCGGCGACAAGCCUUCCUCGUAGAUCGAGAUCCCCAAACCUACCUGUGCGGAGAGGAGGGCGAUUUCUGUCGUCAUCGCUGGAUUCCACUCGCCGUCUCCGUCGCCCUGAUUCCACUCACUCGCCACCGCACUUUUUCUGGAGCCACUUCGUCCAUUUGAGCGAGGCUUGUAGGUUUUCUGCCAUUAUUGAGCUUUUCCAUGGCCACUGCAAACAAUCCAGGUCCCCUUGACUUGGUUCCAGGUUUUUCACCUGAAGACAUGGACAACCCCAUUCAUAAUGCUGCCUUAUCCUACGUGUCAUAUGAUAGAUAUGUGUUAGAUACCUCUGAAGUGUAUUUUGAUGAUUGCAUCCCAUUGGAGUCUUAUCUGAAUAUUAGACCAAUGGUGACUUCUGAUUCGUAUCAGUUUCGUUCAUUUGGGGAAACUAAUCCAAGUGUGACUUAUCUGGUUGCAACAGAGUCAUAACUGCCUCCAUCGCGCGCGGGCGAUGGCGGCCAGGAACAAGGAGGAAGUCUUCUUCGAUCCCGUGUGAGGGUAGUGAGGUCCUCAAGAAGGAGGCCUCUCUGGGUGUCGAGGAAUGUCCCGGGGUCCAUGGAGUGCUGGUUGGAGGAGUCUGGGAAGAAGGUGGUCAAGUACAAGAUGCCUAAUGUUGUUAUCAAACAAAUGAUGAGCUACCCCUACACCUACCCGGAGUACGCCUACACCGAGGAGGAGCUGGCCCAACGUUCUGCCUCAAACUCAGAAAGUUCAUCGAUGAAAAGAUGA
rnacentral:lncRNA from 2 species